rnacentral:misc_RNA from 1 species
CCCGGGAUAUAAGAUUUCCUAACUAUUUUUCAGAAGAAGCUAGAGACAUUGUUGAUCGGUUAUUGGAUGUGGAUCCCAGCAGAAGACCAGGUGCUGGACCUGAUGGUUAUACCGCACUCAAAAUGCAUCCUUUUUUUAAGGGAGUUAACUGGAAGAAUAUUAGGGGGGAAACUCCUCCAAAACUUGCUUUAGAGCCCAUGGCACAGUCUGGUGAGGGUGAGCAUGAU